GUUUAAAGCACACUUUGUGCCUUUCCCCAGUGACCCAGGGAGCGGUUAAAAAAGGGUGCAGGAAAGACAUGGCUUCAGCGGGUGACUUCACAGCAUGUUGUUCAGCUUCUAUCCAUGAUGUAACAGGG
rnacentral:snoRNA from 1 species